GCCUUCGUGGUGCAAUGGUCAGCACACUCGGCGCGUAUUCCAAAGGUUCGAAGUUCGAGUCCUGGCGAGGGCA
rfam:Stegodyphus mimosarum contig81939, whole genome shotgun sequence.